rnacentral:rRNA from 1 species
AACGAACGCUGGCGGCAUGCCUAACACAUGCAAGUCGAACGAGACCUUCGGGUCUAGUGGCGCACGGGUGCGUAACGCGUGGGAACCUGCCCUUAGGUUCGGAAUAACUCCCCGAAAGGUGUGCUAAUACCGGAGAAUGUCUUCGGACCAAAGAUUUAUCGCCUUGGGAUGGGGCGGCGUUGGAUUAGCGAGUUGGUAGGGUAAAAGCCUACCAAGGCGGCGAUCCAGAGCUGGUCGGUGAGGAUGCACAGCCACACUGGGACUGGGACACGGCCCAGACGCCAGCGAGAAGCAGGAGAGGGGAAUAUAGGGCAAGGGGCGAAAGCCUGCACCGGCGAUGCCGCGAGGGUGGUGAAGGCCUAGGGUUGUAAAGCUCUUUUACCCGAGAUGAUAAUGACGGUACCGGGAGAAUAAGCUCCGGCUAACUCCGUG